GACGAAGGAUGCAAGCGUUAUCCGGAUUCAUUGGGUUUAAAGGGUGCGUAGGCGGCCUGCUAAGUCAGUGGUGAAAUCUUCUCGCUUAACGAGAAAACUGCCAUUGAUACUGGUGGGCUUGAGUACAGAUGCUGUGGGCGGAAUAUGACAUGUAGUGGUGAAAUACAUAGAGAUGUCAUAGAACACCGAUUGCGAAGGCAGCUCACAAAACUGUAACUGACGCUGAGGCACGAAAGUGCGGGGAUCAAAACAGG
rnacentral:rRNA from 1 species